CUACGUGCCAGCAGCCGCGGUAAUACGUAGGUCCCGAGCGUUGUCCGGAUUUAUUGGGCGUAAAGCGAGCGCAGGCGGUUAGAUAAGUCUGAAGUUAAAGGCUGUGGCUUAACCAUAGUACGCUUUGGAAACUGUUUAACUUGAGUGCAAGAGGGGAGAGUGGAAUUCCAUGUGUAGCGGCGAAAUGCGUAGAUAUAUGGAGGAACACCGGUGGCGAAAGCGGCUCUCUGGCUUGUAACUGACGCUGAGGCUCGAAAGCGUGGGGAGCAAACAGGAUUAGAUACCCUGGUAGUCCACGCCGUAAACGAUGAGUGCUAGGUGUUAGACCCUUUCCGGGGUUUAGUGCCGUAGCUAACGCAUUAAGCACUCCGCCUGGGGAGUACGACCGCAAGGUUGAAACUCAAAGGAAUUGACGGGGGCCCGCACAGGCGGUGGAGCAUGUGGUUUAAUUCGAAGCAACGCGAAGAACCUUACCAGGUCUUGACAUCCCUCUGACCGCUCUAGAGAUAGAGUUUUC
rnacentral:rRNA from 1 species